rnacentral:siRNA from 1 species
UCGCGGCGACGUGGGUGGU